rnacentral:rRNA from 1 species
UCCUACGGGAGGCAGCAGUAGGGAAUCUUCCGCAAUGGACGAAAGUCUGACGGAGCAACGCCGCGUGAGUGAUGAAGGCUUUCGGGUCGUAAAACUCUGUUGUUAGGGAAGAACAAGUGCUAGUUGAAUAAGCUGGCACCUUGACGGUACCUAACCAGAAAGCCACGGCUAACUACGUGCCAGCAGCCGCGGUAAUACGUAGGUGGCAAGCGUUAUCCGGAAUUAUUGGGCGUAAAGCGCGCGCAGGUGGUUUCUUAAGUCUGAUAUGAAAGCCCACGGCUCAACCGUGGAGGGUCAUUGGAAACUGGGAGACUUGAGUGCAGAAGAGGAAAGUGGAAUUCCAUGUGUAGCGGUGAAAUGCGUAGAGAUAUGGAGGAACACCAGUGGCGAAGGCGACUUUCUGGUCUGUAACUGACACUGAGGCGCGAAAGCGUGGGGAGCAAACAGGAUUAGAUACCCUGGUAGUCCACGCCGUAAACGAUGAGUGCUAAGUGUUAGAGGGUUUCCGCCCUUUAGUGCUGAAGUUAACGCAUUAAGCACUCCGCCUGGGGAGUACGGCCGCAAGGCUGAAACUCAAAGGAAUUGACGGA